UUUAUUAGGGCAAAUGGGGGUUAGGCCGUCAAACGAGAAAAGAGACAAAAAACAGAAGCUCGCGGGACAAAGGUCUAAGGAACCCCCCCUAUGAAAUCAUCUCCAUUAUUCAUUACCGUGAAUGUCAGAUAAGGAAGCUGCUUAAAAAGCAGAUAAGAAGGGGGGGAAAAAGAAAGUAAGGGCCCCUGAAAUAAAAGAAACCAAAACCCCAAUAAAACUAAGAAGAAAUCCAACAAAAAAAAAAAAAAAACUGUUCCAUCUUUUUCUCUUGUAUGGGAAAGUCACUUCCUUCCACGGGCAAACUCCUGGAACUAUCCAAAAUAGUCUCUUCACACAAACCAAGACACAAAAAAAGCAUCGUACCCGUUGUUCCAUCGCGGCCGAGUGAGAUCCGGGUUGACUCGGAGCGAUUGAAGGUGAAAAAGAUGGAAGAAAGUUCUCUUAUUUUGGAUGGCCAAAAACUGGUGCCAUUAGGUCAGGUUGUCUCUGAUUGUGCUAAAAGAUGGUUUGAAGAUACACUAAAGGAAGCAAAGACUGGUGACAUUUCCAUGCAAGUUCUUGUGGGUCAGAUGUAUUUUAAUGGCUAUGGUGUCCCUAAAGAUGUUGAAAAGGGAAGUGCUUGGAUUAGUAGAGCUUCAAAGCGUCGAGCUUCAGUAUGGAAAGUAAGCAAUAAACGUCCAGGUUAUAAUGGAAGUGACUCAGAUUCAGAGGAUGACAGGAAAUGAGAUCAAACUUUUUUAGUCCUGGCAAAAUCACAAAUGAGAACACCUGUGGUAGAAACUCAUCCUUGGUACCGGUUCGCUUAAGAAAAUUAACCAUUACUGGAUGCAUAAUAACAAGUUCUAAAUUUUAUGGCAUGCUAAAUAAUGAUGGGUCAUGUUCAGCUUCAGUGGAAGCUCUUGCCAUGCAGCUGUUUUGUUCAUUCCUGGGAAAGCGUGAGAAGCACUGUGUUUAUUCUCUUGUUGCUUUGAAAACCACAAAUUAUUAGAAAAGUUCCUGAAGUAACGCCAUAGUGCUUAGGAUUACGUGGUUUUAGGAGUGAAUAUCAACUGCUAUGUAGUUGCCUUGAGGAAUUAGGAUAUCUACUUGACUGGUACAUUGCCCUUAAAACCAGUGCCAGGAAACAAGACAGAACAGCUUCUACUCUAUCACGUUUCCUAAUCCUCCUUCCACGCAUUGGAUACUAUAUUAAAAAACUUUUCUUUCUAUGAAUACUUCAAGAUGCCAACUGAAACUUAGGGUUCCCCCCUGCCCCUGCUAUGAUGAUCUAUCUCUAUAAUGUUUGCUUCAUUUUCCCAAGUUCUUAAUCUUAAGCUGAACUGUGAAACAGCUUUCCGGUAUUCGUUUUGACCUAUUUUACUCCUUUACGCCAUUGUUUCAUAUCUGAUAUUAUUUUCUACUGGCAAAUAAAGACAAAUAGAGAUGAUGCUGGGUAGAUCGAGGAAAAGUGAGGAAUUUCUGACUGUUGAAUCUUUGCUCAUUCAUGAGGAUAAGUAAAUUUUGUUGACAUUUGAUGUAUCUUAGAUACAUGAAUGCAUAUUCAGGUCCCUAUCAAUCUAUUCUUUACUGACUUGAUGAACGUGGCUGUGAUUAGCUGACAUAACUCCUUUUGAAUUGCACCAACAUUAAUCAUCUCAAUGUUUUUGCAUCUUCUUGAUCAAAAACCAUCCUGUUACAGCCCUUGGCAUUGUCCUUGGAUAAAGUUUCUGUCUGUCUUUUUACAUCAUGCUGAAUUGGCCCGUCUAUCCUUCACUAGUUUGUGGUGAUUGUGAAUUUCAUCUUGUUAUCAACAGUUUGUCAAUGGUGUUUCCUAGAAGAAUGGUUGAGAGAAGCUUUAAUCACCCUUUAAUAUUAGCAAGAGAGAAAUAUAAUUGCUGAGCAUGCCGUUGUAAAACUUAAAGUGACAGCCAGUUGAGAGCCCUUUACUCAACUGCUGAAAUGGCUAGUUUGGGCUGUACAUUGAACUCUAGUUUUUGUGAGAAUUUUAUCAGUAAGCCAUGAAAUAUGUUUGGGAGGGAUUGAGCUGUGCAAUGCUUUAAGGUGGAAAGAUCUGGAAGGAUAAACAAAUGAAAUAUUGUUAGGUAGGAAUGGCUAGCUGUUCAGGCUGAUGGUCCGCCAGGAGAAGCAAAUUGUUUCUUAUUCGGCUGCAUUUUCUCUUUGGAGGUCCAGAUGCUGAUGAAAUCUUUUGCGUCUUUUGAUUCAGUCUUUUGUUUUGUAUCACCGAACUCUAGGUAUGUUUUCUCAGUUGCAAUGGUGUUUUUGCAUUUGAAAAUCUGGGCUAUGAUACGUUAAUUUCUAGACUAGUUUUAGAAAUAUUUAGUAUAUUUGCC